CCCCCCCCCCCCCCGGGCUCUGUAUUCUCACAUUCCACCCCUGAACCCGUCGUGGGCCAGUUCUUGGGCUACUGCUGGGUUAUAGAUGUUCAGUAUCUAUCUUCCGGAAGAUGGAUAGGAUUUCCCUCCGUCGCCUCAGGUCCCCAUCUCUACGGGGCCGCCUCGCCGCCGAUCCGUUGCUUUGCACCGGUGGCGGCAGGGGCUGGGAACUGUGGGGUGUCGCCUGAUGCGGCUUCUGGGUCGGGUUUGGCCGGCCGCGGUCUACUGAUUCGCUACUCCGGAUGGAUGGAUGGAUGGAUGAUGGAUGGAUGCAAGGGUCUCGAUGCCUUAUUCUCUGUUCCUAUUAUUACUACAGCUGCUGCGGCCGCCACAGCGGUGAUCUCUUUUGCCUGCUGUUGCCUCUGUGUGCUGUGCUGUGAAUCUGUGAUCUGCUGACUGCUCUGCUUUGCUCUGAAUGUUCCUAGCCCUUCCGCUCCUCAUCCUCUCGACCUUUGUGGCAUUUGGAUGGGCAGUGCGACUGGGAUCAGGAUAUGAGAUGGAAUGAGAUGAGAUGCAAAAGAGGUGGGUUUUCUGUCUUGACUCAUGGUCAAAGUACCCAGUGCAAGUGAAAUUUUACUUAGGAUGACCAUAUCUGACAUUACCCGGACCUAUGAAUGGGGUGCUGAUGAGGGGCGAUGAUGUUCAACCUUUUCUGAAUUGCAUGCCAUUGAGCAAUCAAGGCAGCUGUGGGUAUCUAAUUUGAGCUGAUCUCUCCCCUCUUGAAGCCUAUUUAACCAUCUCUUAUUGUUUGUGGUUCUGUGCCUAGGAUGGUCAUUCAGAUAUGCGACAACCAGCGCAGUUCCACUUAUAUUAGGAUGAGUAAAUUGUGCAGCAAGAGGUGUGAGGGCUUGGCUUGUAUGAUCGAGCAAAGGCGAAGCUGAGCCCUCUUAGUACUAUUUCAAUACUAACAGCUUUGUCUUGCUGUACAAUUCAUAGUUUUCUUUUUCUCUUGUUUGAGUGUUUCAUCUUUCAACUAUUGCCAGCCUUCAUUCUGAAGUCAGAAUUCGGCAUUAGGGACUGCUCUUCCAUGCACUUGCAUGGAUGCCCUUUUGGGUUGCAGCAUCAAAUUAAGAGAAGAAUGUUUCCCUUUUUCUAAGAGUUGAUUCUUUUCUAAGAGUGUCAAUUUCACUUACAUGCAUGCCUUUUAGAAUUUGGGAAUGCCAUCUGUAAAUGGACCCAGUAUAUACAAAAUGGGUUGCUGAUGAGUGGCAAUGAUGAUCAGCCCUUUUUAAGGACAUGCCUUUGAUAAAUCGAGGCAGCUGUGGCGUCAAAUUUGACCUUGAACCUCUGUGUUGCAGCUUAUGCGAUCAUUCCUUGUUUGACCUUGAACCUCUCUCUCUGCCCUCCUUUCCUGGUGGUGAUGGCAACUAGGCAAGCCGUGGCCCCCUUCACACAUCAUCAUCAGGCCCUUUGCUGGUGACGAGCAUCCACCAGGUAUGCUCGCCCCUUCUCUUCCCUUCCUGUUGUGCUAAACAGAGCACCCCAAACCCUAAUGUAAGCUAUUUGUAUUCGGAUCUGAUCCAGUUACAAGUAUAUGUAUGUGUUAUACCUACAAGCUUUGAUUUUAUUUAUUUAUUUUUUGCAAAAAAAAGUCAGGUGUACAUGUGUACGCCCUUGUCCUAUACUUGGUCCGUCCUCCCCGCUCUUCAGCAGCCGCAAGCAGGGCAGUGGUGGCAGCAAGGGGUCGGAAUUGCAAGUCAGGCUUUUGUUUAAGCACUUUCUGCUUGCAAUAUUUUUAUUUGACUUGGAAUUUUCAAUGCCCCUCUUGAAACAUCCCCUCAAUAAAAGAGAAAAAGGAUAAAAGAAAUCUCAAUCAAUGUUCACUCUACUUCCACUGCUGUAUGAUCUUCGUUUUUGUUUGUUCUACUCUUGAGUGGCUAUGAUGAUUCAUCUGUAGCAUUGUUUUAGCUGGUACCUGGGAUUUUUGUUCUAUUUGUUGCUUAACUAGGAUGGCUUGUACAUCAAGUAACCAGUUCUACAGCCAACUGCGGCAGCUGAUGGCUGUUACCGCUGAUACUGAUGACAGCUGGUGGCCCGUCUGAACUGACAUUGCUGUUUCAUUUAAGGGGGGAGAGAGAGAGCUUAGAUUGUGUUGCAGCUGAUAUGUCCUGCAGUUGAUGCUCUACCAAUCCGCGAUUCUGUCUUGCGUUGCUGCCACUGAUCUCAAGGGUCGUUCUUCACUUCCCUUCCUGCUGGAUUCGAACCUGGGACCUGGGUCAAUAUUAUUGGGACUAAUAUGUCCAGUCAGUUCAAUCUCACGAGUGAGCUUUGGCUUCCUGCAAGAAUGAAUAAGAUAAAAUUCCAAUGAGGGGCAAUGAUCAGCAAUGAUGUCUGAUAUAAGCGCCUUUGAGGCAGGCUGCUCUGGGCAUCAAACUGGAAUCUUCCCUCUCUUGGAAACCUUAUCAACUAUGCGCUAAUGGCUUUGUCCUUGGAUGGUCAUGCCAUUCUUCAUGGGUGAUAACCAGGACAGCUCCUCUUUCAGAACAGGUUUAUAGGGUGGUAAGAGAAGGUGGGGAAUGCAGUUAUAUGAUGGAGCAAAGGCGAAGCUGAGCCCACUCAAAUGUUUUACUGCUACCCACAGUAUUUUAUGUGAUCGGUUUUUUGUUGAAUAUGUUGUUGCUUUGUGUUUUAUGUCUAACCUAUUUACCAACUUACUUUCUUUUUGCUGUAUUUGUAUAACUCCAUGCAGUUACCUUGCCAAUUGCGUUCAUUGGCAAGUUGUGACAUUUCUUAAUUUUUGCCGUUAAUUCUGCUAUAUUUGUUUGCAGUAUCCUGCUGCAAUAUCAGUGGUUACAUUACCUGAAGAUACUUUCA